GGGAACUCUACGUGGACUGCUCCSGAUAACGGASAGGAAGGUGGGGAUGACGUCAAGUCCGCAUGGCCUUUAUGUCCAGGGCUACACACGUGUUACAAUGCAGGGCACAAACCGUUGCCAACCCGCSAGGGGGAGCUAAUCRKAAAAAACUCUGCUCASUUCKGAUUGCAGUCUGCAACUCSACUGCWUGAAGCCGGAAUC
rnacentral:rRNA from 1 species